ACGCUCGACACCUACUGGAGGCAGCGGUGGGGAAUAUUGCACAAUGGGGGAAACCCUGAUGCAGCGACGCCGCGUGGAGGAAGAAGGUCUUCGGAUUGUAAACUCCUGUUGUUGGGGAAAAAGAGGAUGGUACCCAACAAGGAAGUGACGGCUAACUACGUGCCGGCAGCCGCGGUAAUCUGAGCGGGCUGGCAAGGC
rnacentral:rRNA from 1 species